rnacentral:misc_RNA from 1 species
AAGGCACUUGCAGUGGCCGACAUGGUUUUGUUGUGGCAAUUACGGGAAUUGAGAAUAUUGGGAAAGGGUUGAUCCGUGAUGGAACAGGUUUUGUCACUUUUCCUGUUAAGUACCAAUGUGUCGUGUUUAGACCAUUCAAGGGAGAAAUUUUAGAAGCUGUUGUUACUAUGGUAAAUAAGAUGGGUUUCUUUGCUGAAGCUGGACCUGUUCAGAUUUUUG